CCUCUUCUUGGGCGUAACAUCAUCCCAGCCCAUUAACAAAAAUUUUGGGAUGUUCCUCGGUCUCGAUUCGACUUCCUCGUGGGAAAUACGACGCGCAGUUUUGGCCAGAUGACGUUCCCUGCACACCAGAUGUUUGAUGUUUUGAGUCUGCUAACCACCAGAUGGUAGAUAUCAUAACCUGUAUUGAGAGUUACAGACUUGAUAUAACUUCGCAUACCGCGCAUAUUAAGAAUGGGAAGGAUAUGGUCCUGUAAGUGUUAUGUGUCUUCACUCAAUGGCAAUGCAUUUCAAGCUCCUCUUUCGUGGGAUAUACCGUCUCAACGGCCUAACCCAGCAAACUCGUUGCUAUGCCCGCGACCCAUUUCCCAAUAAAGUUUCCCACUACCUGUUCCGUGCCAAACUCAUUGAUAAGAUUCGACUAGGCCUCCGCUCCAGCACUCCCAGCUCGCUUGCGCCUCUCCUAAAUCAUCGCCAUAUCGAUUCAUUCGUUGUCACUCAUGCGCUCCGGUCUGCGCCUUCUGCAGACGCUGCCCUGUCCCUGGUGGACACCCUUGAGUCAAUUCCCUAUUUCUCGCAUACCCAGAACACCGUCCAUGCGCUGGCCACAGUCCUGGCCAAGUCCCACCGGACUGCGGAGCUCAAAUCCCUUAUUGAUGCCGUCAAUGCUGGCAGGUUUCGCAACGUCCGUGUCACUUUUAUGAACCUUAUGCAGUGGUAUGCUGCGACUGGAGACCUUGACAUGGUACUCCGUGUUUGGGAAGAAUAUAGGUUGUCAAGCGAGCGUGUAUGCACCGAGUCUUAUAACAUUGUCAUGCGCCUUUAUGCUCAAACGGGUAAGGACGACUCUGAGGCCGUGCAGGUUUUCUAUAGGAUGAUAAAUGAAGGAGCAAUUCCAAAUUCUAGGACUUACAAGGUAAUGAUUGAGCACCUUGUGAACUCCGGAAAGUUAGAGUCCGCAGUGGAGAUUUUUAAAAUACUGCCCUUGAUGAGAAUUAGACGCACUUCAAAUCAAUAUUUUGUUUUGAUGGAAGGACUUAUUGGUGUUGAGCGGUUUGAUGAGGUCAAGGAUUUGCUCAAGGAAAUGAUGGUUGAUGGAAUAUUGCCGGGAAGAGCCAUGCGUUUGUCAUUGAAACGUAUGCAGGAGGCAGGAUUUGUCCAAGAGACAGAUGAAUUUCUUGUAGAAAUGUUGCCGGAUGAGAGAAUCAGAAGCAUAGGAUGUAGUGAUGUCCAUAGUGAUGACGAUCAUUAUGAUGAUGAUGAUGAUGUGGAUGAGGAUGUUUCUCGUGGUAGUGGAGGUGACUAUGUUGAUGGGGUUCAGUUAAAACCGUGGUUAGACCCAAGGGCCUUGGCAAGUGCCUUACAUCAAUGGAGCUCUAGCGAGGUAUCAGCUCUAGAGGAUGCGAAACUGGUGUGGACAACUCGGUUGUUUUGCAAGAUUCUUAGGAAUUUGAAGUCUCCGGAAACAGCUUGGGGUUUUUUCUGUUGGGUUGCUUAUCAGCCAGGAUUUACACAUGAUGUUUACACAGUACAAAGGAUGCUGGCACUUUUAGCACGCCACGGGCAUGUUGAAUUGGUUGAUAAACUCCUAUCCAAAAUAAGAAGGGAGGGAAUGAGAUUGCCCUUCAGCACCAUGAGGUUGAUCAUUGACUUGUAUGGCAUCUCGAAGAGAGCUGAUGCGGCUCUAAAGGUCUUUCGUGAUGAUAGAACUCUCUGUGGUCCCAUAUCAAUUUUUAAUUUGAUGCUUCUGUAUUCAUCUCUAUUACGAACAUUGACCAAGUGCGGGAGGAAUUCUGACGCCAUGGAUGUACUUGAAGAGAUGGUUUUGUGUGGGAUUUGUCCGGAUAUUCAGACAUAUUCUGGAUUAAUGCAUCACUUUGCAUUGAAUGGGGACAUCAAAACAGUGCAGAAACUCUUUGCAAUGGUUAGGCAAAGUGGUGUGGAGCCUGAUGGUUAUAUGUUUAAAGUACUGAUCCAAGCUUAUUGCAAAUGUGAGAGAGCUGCUCUUGCAUGGAGAGUUUUUGAAGACGUGAGGAAUUUAAAUUUGAUGCCUGAUCCUGUCACUAAAGAGCUGCUAGUAAAGAGUCUCUGGAAGGAGGGCAAGCGGAGAGAGGCUGCUGCUGUUGAAGAAAAUUGUGAGCAAACAAAAGUUCUUCCACUAACAUUGCGCGGUCACAUAUGGACAGUGAGCUCUGCAGAUUUCACAAGGGUUUAUGAUAUUUAUUCAACAAGCUUUAAAUCCACAGCUGGCUAGAGUUGUGAAUGUUUCUGCUAAACAAGCAAUUAUCUGCUUCAAAGCGUCUUUGGCAGGGUAAAGCACGGCGAUAGUCAACUUUAGCUUCUCUGUUAUCACUCGGACAUCGCCUGGGAAGGAAGAAAACCAUGGACCUAUGCUUAUUAUAGGAGGUCAGGGAAGCAUUGCACGUUCUUGAGAGAGAUUGCACAAUCUCAUCCAUGGCUGGUCGCCCUGCCGGAUUUUUGUUUAAGCAGCUAUCAAUCAAUCUGACCACAAAAACAGCAAGUUCCAAAGGAUAAUUCCCUC